GAUGAACGCUGACAGAAUGCUUAACACAUGCAAGUCGAUUCAAGUUACCUUCGGGUAAUGAGGAUGGCGGACGGGUGAGUAACGCGUAAGGAACUUGCCUCUUGGUCUGGGACAACUGUUGGAAACGACAGCUAAUACCGGAUAUUAUGAGAUUCUCGCAUGGGAAACUUAUGAAAGCUAUAUGCGCCAAGAGAGAGCCUUGCGUUCCAUUAGCUAGUUGGUGGGGUAACGGCCCACCAAGGCGACGAUG
rnacentral:rRNA from 1 species